CAAGAGAGAAAAAGACGCACCCAACUCCUCCCACCUACUCUCUCUCCGACGAAGCCGCGACCCCUCUCUGUUAAAUCCUCCACACCACCCCCGCCGACCGUCGACGAGGGGAGGCGAUCGAAAAGAGCUCGUCGCUUCAGGCGGGGACGGGCAUAGUCGGUGGGAUUCUGCCCGCCGUUCCUCCCCUGGGCCGUGGUCUGUGCGUGACGCUUUCCGGCGCUAGACCAUCCACCACUCACCAAAUUUUCUCCUUGUUUUUGUUUGUAAUUCCUCUAGAUUAGAAUCUGUCAUUUGUGGGAUUCUAUUUUCCGCUUUUGUGCGUUGCAUAUUCCCGUCCAUUACCUGCGAUUGGAUCGGUAAUAGGGGUUUAAUUGUGCUGCUGCCCAAAUGAAUUUUGGGCUUAUUUAUUAUUCGUCGUCUUUGCUUCUUUUUCCUUGACGUUUCCCGUUUAUGCACGAAAACUUCGUUCUGUAUGGUAGUGUUGAUUUUUUCGAUGAUGACUAAACAUAUGAUUGAUGAUAAAUAUGAAUGUUCUUUAAGGUUUUUUACUUAUUUAUGUUAUACUUGAUUUGUUUAGCGAAAUUUGUGGUUGAUCAUGAAUCUGCAUCUAUAAUCUGUUUGUUAGAAUUUCAGAAUCUUAAUAUAUGGAGCUUUGUUGGUAUUCGGGAACUAUAUGCAUAAUUCACAUUCGGGGCGUGAAUAUUGAAUAGCUGGCCGAACUUCAUUUGGUUUAUGCCGAACAGCGAUGGAUUUGUAAUUCCAAACUUGGAAAUCGAAGACACGAAGUUGGAUCCUAAAUUUUGUUCCUUCAAACUAUUCGAUUGUCCAUCUUGCAAUUCAAUGCGGUUUUUUUAAUACUUAAGCAUAAAAUCGAGAAAGUAUCCAUAAUGCAACUUUGAAACUGGGCACGCAACGCCGCGCAUUGCGCGGUGCAACAUUUCUAGCAUAUAUAUAAGCAUGAAUCGUUCUCUGUCACUUAACAUUUUGUGUUUCCUAUUGUGCACCUUAGUCAGUUAUAUUGUUAUAACAUUCAUUAGGUAUGGC
rnacentral:lncRNA from 1 species